rnacentral:tRNA from 1 species
CCUGCCAUCGUCUAGCGGCAAGGACACCCGGUUCUCAGCCGGUCGGCGCGGGUUCGAGUCCCGCUGGCAGUACCA